GUGUGUAGUGGCGUGUUCUAGACCCGAAGCGGAGUGAUCUACCCAUGGCCAGGUUGAAGCGACGGUAAGACGUCGUGGAGGACCGAACCCACUUAGGUUGAAAACUGAGGGGAUGAGUUGUGGGUAGGGGUGAAAGGCCAAUCAAACUCCGUGAUAGCUGGUUCUCCCCGAAAUGCAUUUAGGUGCAGCGUCACGUGUUUCUCAUCGGAGGUAGAGCUACUGGAUGGUCUAGGGGGCUUACCGGCUUACCGAAAUCAGCCAAACUCCGAAUGCCGGUGAGUGAGAGCGUGGCAGUGAGACUGCGGGCGAUAAGGUUCGUAGUCGAGAGGGAAACAGCCCAGAUCGCCAGCUAAGGUCCCUAAGCGUGUACUAAGUGGAAAAGGAUGUGGGGUCGCGAAGACAACCAGGAGGUUGGCUUAGAAGCAGCCACCCUUGAAAGAGUGCGUAAUAGCUCACUGGUCAAGUGAUCCUGCGCCGACAAUGUAGCGGGGCUCAAGUACACCACCGAAGCUGCGGCACUCACACAACAGCCCGCAUCGUUCCUACGGGGAUGGUGCCAGGUGUGUGGGUGGGUAGGGGAGCGUCGUGCAGCCGUGGAAGCAUCGGGGUGACCUAGGUGUGGAGGCUGUGCGAGUGAGAAUGCAGGCAUGAGUAGCGAAAGACGAGUGAGAAACUCGUCCGCCGAAUGACCAAGGGUUCCUGGGCCAGGUUAAUCCGCCCAGGGUGAGUCGGGACCUAAGACGAGGCCGACAGGCGUAGCCGAUGGACAACGGGUUGAUAUUCCCGUACCCGUGUGAACGCGCCCCUGGUGAAUCAGUGAUACUAACCGCCCUGAAUCCCGGUGACGGAUCUCUUUCGAGAGUGAUGCGCUGGGUGGAUGCGUGGGACCUGAUCUGGUAGUAGCCAAGCGAUGGGGUGACGCAGGAAGGUAGCUGAGCCAGUCAGUGGUAAUACUGGUGUAAGCCUGUAGGGCGAGACAUAGGCAAAUCCGUGUCUCAUACAGCCUGAGAGGUGAUGCGUAGCCGAUUGAGGCGAAUUCAGUGAUCCUAUGCUGCCGAGAAAAGCCUCUAGCGAGCUUUCACACGGCCCGUACCCCAAACCGACACAGGUGGUCAGGUAGAGAAUACUGAGGCGAUCGAGAUAACUAUGGUUAAGGAACUCGGCAAAAUGCCCCCGUAACUUCGGGAGAAGGGGGACCUCGUCCGGUGAUCAUCCUUGCGGUGUGAGCUGGGUGGGGUCGCAGAGACCAGUGAGAAGCGACUGUUUACUAAAAACACAGGUCCGUGCGAAGUCGUAAGACGAUGUAUACGGACUGACGCCUGCCCGGUGCUGGAAGGUUAAGAGGACCGGUCAACUGCACUUGUGUGGUGAAGCUGAGAAUUUAAGCCCCAGUAAACGGCGGUGGUAACUAUAACCAUCCUAAGGUAGCGAAAUUCCUUGUCGGGUAAGUUCCGACCUGCACGAAUGGCGUAACGACUUCUCAGCUGUCUCAACCAUAGACUCGGCGAAAUUGCAUUACGAGUAAAGAUGCUCGUUACGCGCGGCAGGACGAAAAGACCCCGGGACCUUCACUAUAGCUUGGUAUUGGUGUUCGGUUCGGUUUGUGUAGGAUAGGUGGGAGACUGUGAAGCGGUGACGCCAGUUACUGUGGAGUCGUUGUUGAAAUACCACUCUGAUCGUAUUGGAUACCUCAACCUCGGACCAUGAUCUGGUUCAGGGACAGUGCCUGGUGGGUAGUUUAACUGGGGCGGUUGCCUCCCAAAAUGUAACGGAGGCGCCCAAAGGUUCCCUCAGCCUGGUUGGCAAUCAGGUGUCGAGUGCAAGUGCACAAGGGAGCUUGACUGUGAGACUGACAGGUCGAGCAGGGACGAAAGUCGGGACUAGUGAUCCGGCACCGGCAUGUGGAAGCGGUGUCGCUCAACGGAUAAAAGGUACCCCGGGGAUAACAGGCUGAUCUUCCCCAAGAGUCCAUAUCGACGGGAUGGUUUGGCACCUCGAUGUCGGCUCGUCGCAUCCUGGGGCUGGAGUAGGUCCCAAGGGUUGGGCUGUUCGCCCAUUAAAGCGGCACGCGAGCUGGGUUUAGAACGUCGUGAGACAGUUCGGUCUCUAUCCGCCGCGCGCGUCAGAAACUUGAGGAAGGCUGUCCCUAGUACGAGAGGACCGGGACGGACGAACCUCUGGUGUGCCAGUUGUUCCACCAGGAGCACCGCUGGUUAGCUACGUUCGGAAGGGAUAACCGCUGAAAGCAUCUAAGCGGGAAGCCUGUUCCAAGAUGAGGUUUCUCACCCCCUUUGU
rnacentral:rRNA from 1 species